rnacentral:rRNA from 1 species
UGGGGAAUAUUGGACAAUGGGCGAAAGCCUGAUCCAGCCAUGCCGCGUGUGUGCAGAAGGUCUUCGGAUUGUAAAGCACUUUAAGUUGGGAGGAAGGGCAUUAACCUAAUACGUUAGUGUUUUGACGUUACCGACAGAAUAAGCCCCGGCUAACUCUGUGCCAGCAGCCGCGGUAAUACAGAGGGUGCAAGCGUUAAUCGGAAUUACUGGGCGUAAAGCGCGCGUAGGUGGUUUGUUAAGUUGGAUGUGAAAUCCCCGGGCGCAACCGGGGAACUGCAUUCAAACCUGACUGACUAGAGUAUGGUAGAGGAUGGUGGAAUUUCCUGUGUAGCGGUGAAAUGCGUAGAUAUAGGAAGGAACACCAGUGGCGAA